AUGCUCCAAAUGGUAAUAUAUUCACGGUUGAAUUUCCAACGGAUGAUGAUGCAGGGGAGGACGUCCAGGUGGUUGGCAAGACGCCCAACCAAGGUGACCACAAUGGUAGUGAUCAUCAUGGUGCCGACACCAAACGACAACGCGCAUGGGUCGCAAGGUGAUAGCGACAACGAUGUGCAAGACACAGGUAGAGAUCUCAACAACGACAUCGACAAUGAGGCGCAUAGUGAUGAUGACAAUCAAGAUGAUGGUCACGAUCACGACGACUACGCCGACGACGCAGAUGCCAACGACCCGGCAUCUACCACGCCCGAGACUCGACCGUCUUCCUCAAGUGCAUCGACGCCGACACAAUUUGUGUCGCCUCCUUCGCAAGCCACAACGGAUUCUUCCGGGCCUCAUCGCUACAAGACCCUCAAGAAAGUCUACAAGUACGCAAAGCCAGUUACGCUCGAGUGCUCCGAUUUGUGUUUACUCGGAGUUGAGGAGCCGGCGAACUUCGUAGAGGCGAGCAAAAGUUCAAGUUGGAUGCACGCCAUGGAUGAGGAGAUGAAGGCGAUCGAGAGCAAUGGCACGUGGACUUUGGUAACCCGACCUCCAAACCAAAAGGCCAUAGGUUUGAAGUGGGUUUACAAGUUAAAGAAGGACACGAAGGGUGCCAUUGUAAAGUACAAGGCAAGACUCGUCGCAAAGGGCUACGUACAACAUCAAGGAGUUGACUAUGAGGAGGUGUUUGCACCGGUUGCUCGAAUCGAGACCGUGAGAGUGCUCCUAGCUUUGGCAGCAAAGAAGAAGUGUACGUGGAACAACCCCUCGGCUACGAGAAGAAAGGCGAAGAAGCGAAAGUUUACAAGCUCAAGAAGGCACUUUACGGGUUGA
rnacentral:rRNA from 1 species